AUGAACGCUAGCUACAGGCUUAACACAUGCAAGUCGAGGGGCAGCAUGGUCUUAGCUUGCUAAGGCCGAUGGCGACCGGCGCACGGGUGAGUAACACGUAUCCAACCUGCCGUCUACUCUUGGACAGCCUUCUGAAAGGAAGAUUAAUACAAGAUGGCAUCAUGAGUCCGCAUGUUCACAUGAUUAAAGGUAUUCCGGUAGACGAUGGGGAUGCGUUCCAUUAGAUAGUAGGCGGGGUAACGGCCCACCUAGUCUUCGAUGGGUAGGGGUUCUGAGAGGAAGGUCCCCCACAUUGGAACUGAGACACGGUCCAAACUCCUACGGGAGGCAGCAGUGAGGAAUAUUGGUCAAUGGGCGAGAGCCUGAACCAGCCAAGUAGCGUGAAGGAUGACUGCCCUAUGGGUUGUAAACUUCUUUUAUAAAGGAAUAAAGUCGGGUAUGGAUGCCCGUUUGCAUGUACUUUAUGAAUAAGGAUCGGCUAACUCCGUGCCAGCAGCCGCGGUAAUACGGAGGAUCCGAGCGUUAUCCGGAUUUAUUGGGUUUAAAGGGAGCGUAGAUGGAUGUUUAAGUCAGUUGUGAAAGUUUGCGGCUCAACCGUAAAAUUGCAGUUGAUACUGGAUAUCUUGAGUGCAGUUGAGGCAGGCGGAAUUCGUGGUGUAGCGGUGAAAUGCUUAGAUAACACGAAGAACUCCGAUUGCGAAGGCAGCCUGCUAAGCUGCAACUGACAUUGAGGCUCGAAAGUGUGGGUAUCAAACAGGAUUAGAUACCCUGGUAGUCCACACGGUAAACGAUGAAUACUCGCUGUUUGCGAUAUACAGCAAGCGGCCAAGCGAAAGCGUUAAGUAUUCCACCUGGGGAGUACGCCGGCAACGGUGAAACUCAAAGGAAUUGACGGGGGCCCGCACAAGCGGAGGAACAUGUGGUUUAAUUCGAUGAUACGCGAGGAACCUUACCCGGGCUUAAAUUGCAGAUGAAUUACGGUGAAAGCCGUAAGCCGCAAGGCAUCUGUGAAGGUGCUGCAUGGUUGUCGUCAGCUCGUGCCGUGAGGUGUCGGCUUAAGUGCCAUAACGAGCGCAACCCUUGUUGUCAGUUACUAACAGGUUCCGCUGAGGACUCUGACAAGACUGCCAUCGUAAGAUGUGAGGAAGGUGGGGAUGACGUCAAAUCAGCACGGCCCUUACGUCCGGGGCUACACACGUGUUACAAUGGGGGGUACAGAGGGCCGCUACCACGCGAGUGGAUGCCAAUCCCCAAAACCUCUCUCAGUUCGGACUGGAGUCUGCAACCCGACUCCACGAAGCUGGAUUCGCUAGUAAUCGCGCAUCAGCCACGGCGCGGUGAAUACGUUCCCGGGCCUUGUACACACCGCCCGUCAAGCCAUGGGAGCCGGGGGUACCUGAAGUGCGUAACCGCGAGGAGCGCCCUAGGGUAAAACUGGUGACUGGGGCU
rnacentral:rRNA from 1 species